UACGUAGGGUGCGAGCGUUGUCCGGAAUUACUGGGCGUAAAGGGCUCGUAGGCGGCGCAACAAGUCACUUGUGAAAUCUCCGGGCUUAACCCGGAGCGGCCAAGUGAUACUGUCGUGCUAGAGUGCGGAAGGGGCUACUGGAAUUCUCGGUGUAGCGGUGAAAUGCGUAGAUAUCGAGAGGAACACCCGCGGCGAAGGCGGGUAGCUGGGCCGACACUGAGGCUGAGGCGCGAAAGCCAGGGGAGCGAACGGG
rnacentral:rRNA from 1 species